GAGGGUAUAGCUCAGUGGUGGAGUGUGUGCUUGGCAUGCAUGGGGUCCUGGGUUCCAUCCCCAGUACUUCCA
rnacentral:tRNA from 1 species